AUACCUACCUGGCGUCGGGAUACCGUGAUCAUGCAGGCAGUUCCCCCGGGGUGCGGCUGCUUCAUUGCACUGCGGAAUGGUUGACCCUUGCGAUUAUUUUUAUAUUUUAUAAGUUUCACUUCUACCGUGUGUUACACACAG
rnacentral:snRNA from 9 species